UUGUUGCUCAGCAGCAUGCAUACAGUAAUAGUAAUGACAAAGAGAAGAUUAGCAUGGACCCUGGGAAACUAACAUGUAAGUUCAUGAGACAUUCCAUAUUUUU
rfam:Canis lupus familiaris chromosome 3, whole genome shotgun sequence.